GCAGGGUGUGGCCUUGCCCAGGGCCUCUGCUGUGCGGCCAGCGUAAGAGCAGGCGCUCAGUUGCCUCUCACCAUGUCAGAGCCUAGUACAGAGCUGGUGCCCAGGAUGUAGUUCUUGGGCUGUUUCCUAGUGAAAUUCUGCUGGGAUUCUGCUGGGAGAGUCCAUUUUGGCAGAGCUAGAUGCUGGAGAACUGUUCCCACAGAGCAAGUCUAUUCUUAGAGAUGCUGUGCUGAAGGCUUCCUGGCUUUAACGAUGCACCUGGCUUUUGGCAUGGAGAAGGCGGUUGAGGAGCACGAGGAGGUGGGAGACGCCAUGUACCUCCGCAGGCAUAGCGCCGUGGUUGUCUCUGUGGGAGCACUGCCUAGCCCUCUGCCUUCAGAUGGCACC